CUAAAAGAUUAAUUUACAUUUUAAAAAUUUACUGCUAAACUGUUCCAACAUGUUUUAGAUAAUUUAAAACUUGUAUGAACAAUCUCUAAACAACAACAAAAAAACUCAGGCGUGAUCUAGAAAUAAAUUUUGAUCUUCCAUGGCAAUUACAACAUUAAAAUAGUGGACCUCUCAACAGUCUUAGAAGUCUUAUUAAACACUUACAUGUCUUAUUUUAUGUUUUCUAAUUUCUAUCAUGAUUAUAUAUUAUAAGCAUAAUAAGCUGGUGGAAUUAAUACUCAAUUAUCAUAUACACUAAAAAAACUAUAAAUUAAUAAUGUUGGGACUAUGGUAUUUUAUUUUAAAAUAUUUUUAUUUAUAAAAUAAAAAAUAUUUGAUUUUAUCGUAUAUGUAUUAAUUAAAUUUUAGAAAUUUGACUUUCAUAUUGUUUUAUGAUAUUAUUUAGUGUAUAUUUUUAUGGUCCAUGGAAUUUAUAUGUGGUUUUUCAUGUCUUUUUAUUAAAUAUUAUCAAAUAUAUUGAAAUGUUAAGAAAAAAUAUAGAUAUUUUCAUUGUGAAUAUAAAAUCAACAACAUAAUGUUUGGUUUGUACUUAUAUAAAAUGUAUAUAUAGAUAGAUUAUUAAUUUAUGAUUUUAAUGGAAUCAUAUAUUUAUGUAUAAAUUUCUAAAUAAUUAUUAUCUUAUUAUUUUAUCGAUUUAUGUCAUAUUUUGAAUUGAUUCAAUUUGAGACAGGAAAAAUUUAUUAAUUUAUAGAAUAUUAGUUUAUAGAAUUUCUACUGAUCUACUCUCAUCUUCUAGAUUUUAUUUUACAUUAAUUCUAUCAAACGCAAUCAUUCCAUGUGAAGGAUGACACAUUAGAUAAACAUGUCGUCCUUAGUUUACUUCAAUUUACGCACAUGGCAGUACGAAUUCAAAAGUCAAAACGAAGAAAAAUAUUCUUCACUGGCGUGUUCUUCUCCUGGGGCUAACGAGGCUUUGUAAACAACUCCAUGAGCUCUCCUUCCGAUGAUGUACUUGUCAUCUAGAUUGCGAGUGGCUGCAAGAACAUGAGAAUCUUCUACCUUGACUCCUCCUCUUUUGCAGCAGAGAAAAAACAAAGCCAAGGGACGAAGGAAUCUCACCUCCAAAGGCAUUUCCAGCUAACCGGAGAUCUAUCAGACGGUCAAAGAACGAGGGAAUGGCUCAUGAAUAACUCUAUUUUUUUUUGUUAAUUACUAAUCUAACUCUACAUGAUCGACACAUGUUAGUAUAGGUGGCUAAAGACCAAAUAACCUUAAUUGUUCUUCUUUAUUACAAUAUUGCCAUUUUUAAUAAAUUUUACAACAGAAAAUAAUUAAUUCCUAUUGCAUCGUAUUAUUAUUUGUCAAAAAAUUCUCCAGAAAGAAAAUCUAGGGUGCCGGUGUAGACAGUCAGAUUCAAUUUCACCAGAGGUUAAACCUUCUUCCCCCAAUUAGCAUCGAUUUCACCGGUGAGAAGAUAUUAGAUUUCCCCGGCGAGCCUUGAAACCUUUCAUCCGACGAGCGUCAUUUUGCUGCCUUGUUUUCUCCGCCAGUGAAAUUUUCUGGCGACGAGGACCACCGCUGCUUCACCAUCCUCUGUCAUCUUCUCUGCCAAAACUCCAAAGUAUCUAACAUCUUUAAUUAAUUUCUGGGUUAUGGAUUCUUCUAGCAGUAAGCGCAACCAUCCACGACUACUCUACAAAAAAGGCAAAGCUCCUAGCCAGCCGAGGAGUAUGAGCUAUUAUAGCUAUUUGUCAAAUUUUCAAAUGGUAGAAGGUGUGGGACUUGAUGGAUGGGAUGAUGACGUUGAUGAUGAUGAUGUAACAAACUUGGUUCAUGAUAUCAGUCACAAUUGUGUAGAUCGUCGAUUUUGGGAUGUCAUGAAGAACCUCCAACUACUACAAGAAAGAAGCGCCCUACAUCUGUUCCCAAGACUGAUAUUAAGAGUUCAAAAAAGAAGGCUAAUGAUACAAAAACUGUUGGAAUUCAGGAAGACUGUUUAAUUCUCUGCACUUAUUUCCUUAGUGAAAUUGUAGUCUUAUUUUGUAGUCACAUCCACGUAAUUAGACGUAGAAGAAAAUAACAAGAUUAGAUUGUAAAUAGCACAAAACAUAAUUAAUACAAGUUGAGAAAAAGUAUUAUAUCUA